rnacentral:rRNA from 1 species
GACGAACGCUGGCGGCGUGCCUAAUACAUGCAAGUAGAACGCUGAAGGAGGAGCUUGCUUCUCUGGAUGAGUUGCGAACGGGUGAGUAACGCGUAGGUAACCUGCCUGGUGGCGGGGGAUAACUACUGGAAACGAUAGCUAAUACCGCAUAAGAGUAGAUGUUGCAUGACAUUUGCUUAAAAGGUGCAAUUGCAUCACUACCAGAUGGACCUGCGUUGUAUUAGCUAGUUGGUGAGGUAACGGCUCACCAAGGCAACGAUACAUAGCCGACCUGAGAGGGUGAUCGGCCACACUGGGACUGAGACACGGCCCAGACUCCUACGGGAGGCAGCAGUAGGGAAUCUUCGGCAAUGGACGGAAGUCUGACCGAGCAACGCCGCGUGAGUGAAGAAGGUUUUCGGAUCGUAAAGCUCUGUUGUAAGAGAAGAACGAGUGUGAGAGUGGAAAGUUCACACUGUGACGGUAUCUACCAGAAAGGGACGGCUAACUACGUG